rnacentral:rRNA from 1 species
UACGUAGGUGGCAAGCGUUGUCCGGAUUUAUUGGGUUUAAAGGGUGCGUAGGCGGUUCUAUAAGUCAGUGGUGAAAUCCGGCAGCUCAACUGUCGAUGUGCCAUUGAUACUGCAGAACUUGAGUACAGACGAGGUAGGCGGAAUUGACGGUGUAGCGGUGAAAUGCUUAGAUAUCGUCAAGAACACCGAUAGCGAAGGCAGCUUACUAGACUGUAACUGACGCUGAUGCACGAAAGUGUGGGGAUCAAACAGGAUUAGAUAACC